UCCCCGGGAGGAUCCCGGCCUUUUUUCUGGGCCAGCCUCUCCCGUGCCAGUCUUCCCUGGGCCAAAAUCGUGCACCCUUUGGCAGCCCACCAAGACGAGAAUUGCAGCCCGUUUCCCAGCGAUUUCCACGAGGAAGAAAUACACGAUCCAUUCGACCGGGAAGGUUUCCCGAGCGCUCGCGUCUCUGCUCGCGAGGUCGCGAGGCUUCUUCCUCCGCUCGACGCUGCCGCCGCCGCCGCCACAGCAGUCGGCCGCCGCCUCCGCCUCUGCCUCGGCAUCCGACCGCCUCCGCCUCGGCAUCCGGCCGCCGCCUCCGCCCCGAGAUCCAGUCGUGCCAACGGGAACCCGCCUCCGCCACCUCCGCCGCCGUGACUUCCCUGGACAGCGCACCCGGCUCCGCUUCGCUCCAUCACCGUCGUUAUCGUCGAUCUUGGAGCUGUCGCUGCGACCUCGACACCCGGUUGCCUGAGUCUGAUCCGCUCUGAGCACGGCUUCAACACCACCUGCAUCACCAAGCUCUUCCCCACACGCUCGCACACUGUCGUGGCACAGGAAGGAACAAAAAUUUCAGAAGUGAGCCAGGAACGAACGUGUGUGGGUGUGGCGGACGGCCGAUAUGACCUAGCUAACAAUCGUUUAGGAGUUUGACCUACCAAUUACAUGCAUAUUUGCUAGCAAUGUUAUUUAAUUUUGGAGCUGUCCUUGUUUGCAUUUAAUCUGUGACUUUGUUUCGUUCUAGUGUGCGUUGUUUAAUUGGGUAGUUAAAUUAAUUUGCAUGUAUGCUUCAUCAUGAUAUACAAUAGAUUUGGUCCAUCGAUGACGACGGUAGUGUUGAUUUUGCUGUCAUGCAUACAUUGUUUAGUUUUUAUUUUCCUGGGAGCAGGUGACUAGGUAAGUAUCAUGCUUUGUAGUUAUCUAUGCAGGUUACGUAUAGAAGAGUUGAUAUCACAGUGCAUAGAAGAGUUGGAUUGUUUGAAAACAUAACUUCUGAAGUUCUGAUUAAUUGGGUGGCUUUGUGCAAGAAAAUUCAGAACAUGUGUUUAAUAAAUUUGUCUCGUGGAUUACUUA